GGUGGCUAACAUUCUAAGAGUGCCCAAAUCCUUUCAGACCUUGGAAGCUAAGCAGGGCUGGACCUAGUUAGUACUUGGAUGGGAGACGGCCGUGGGGGACCAGGGGCCCCUA
rnacentral:rRNA from 12 species